GAACCAGCAGUGGAUCUCAUAGUUAUCGUCCUGGUGGUGUCUUUAGCUGUGUGUGUUGUGUUGAUCAUUAUCCUCAUCUGUACCAGAAAGACACGGACAGUGUGUGAGAAUUGUAAAGUGAGUGUUACCUAUCACGGACAUGACAAGACAACUGCAGAACAGUUAAGUGGCCAGGAAGGUGAAGACUUGAACUAUGCUGCUCUGCAGUUCUCUGAGAUGAAAGGUAAAAGAGGAAGAAGGAAGAGAGAGACCCCACAGGAGAGUGUGUACUCUGAUGUGAGGGGUUCUGACUGGGAGGGAAGUGGUCAACAGACAAUCAGUUUGUAAACAUUGUCGAAGUGUCAGUUUAGGUUAGCUUAUUAUAUUGUAUUUUAUUAAGUCUGAUAUAAAAAUCAUGUGUUUGUGAUUUCUUUGAUUCAAAGUAGUGUAUGUGGUCACUAGAAAUUCAGUGUGCAAAGUGACAUUCUGGCUAGCAUUCAAUAAAUGUUUCUAUACAUAGUUUUG